UUGUGUGUGAGGAGCAAGUUUAAAGAACGCCUGGGGUGGAAACACGGCCACACUCCCAGGCGUUUUUUA
rnacentral:sRNA from 1 species